rnacentral:sRNA from 1 species
CCUGUACCCAAGGGCCCAAGGUUCCAGGCUGUUAAAGGUCUCCGUUCACAGGUGUUUCUGCCAGGCACUUUGUCACGGCAAGGAGGAACGUGGCUAAUACGGAUGGAAACAUCCCCACACACGAGGCCUCAGAGUCUACCUUGUCUUCAAAUGGCGGUCUCAAGAAGUAAGAACUGUGCUCAAGAUGUCUUGAUUUGAAAGAGUUUCCCACAAGUUCUGA